AACAAACGCUGGCGGCGUGCCUAACACAUGCAAGUCGUACGAGAAAGUUCGGCUUCGGCCGAUGAGUACAGUGGCGCACGGGUGAGUAGCGCGUGGGUAAUCUGCCCCCCGGUCAGGAAUAACCCGCCGAAAGGCGGGCUAAUACCCGAUAACACUGACGCUCCGCGGAGCGUCUUUCAAAGGAGGCCUCUGUUUACAAGCUUUCGCCGGAGGAUGAGCCCGCGUACCAUUAGCUAGUUGGCAGGGUAAUGGCCUACCAAGGCUGCGAUGGUUAGCUGGUCUGAGAGGAUGGCCAGCCACACUGGAACUGAGACACGGUCCAGACUCCUACGGGAGGCAGCAGUGAGGAAUCUUGCGCAAUGGGGGAAACCCUGACGCAGCAACGCCGCGUGAGUGAGGAAGGCCUUCGGGUCGUAAAGCUCUGUCAGAUGGGAAGAAAUGGGUGGGGGCUAAUAUCGCCCAUCCUUGACGGUACCAUCAGAGGAAGCACCGGCUAACUCCGUG
rnacentral:rRNA from 1 species